rnacentral:sRNA from 1 species
CGACGGAGCGGUUGUUGGUCAUAAUUGCAUA